rnacentral:rRNA from 1 species
GAUGAACGCUGGCGGCGUGCCUAAUACAUGCAAGUCGAGCGAACAGACGAGGAGCUUGCUCCUCUGACGUUAGCGGCGGACGGGUGAGUAACACGUGGAUAACCUACCUAUAAGACUGGGAUAACUUCGGGAAACCGGAGCUAAUACCGGAUAAUAUAUUGAACCGCAUGGUUCAAUAGUGAAAGACGGUUUUGCUGUCACUUAUAGCUGGAUCCGCGCCGCAUUAGCUAGUUGGUAAGGUAACGGCUUACCAAGGCAACGAUGCGUAGCCGACCUGAGAGGGUGAUCGGCCACACUGGAACGGAGACACGGUCCAGACUCCUACGGGAGGCAGCAGUAGGGAAUCUGCCGCAAUGGGCGAAAGCUUGACGGAGCAACGCCGCGUGAGUGAUGAAGGUCUUCGGAUCGUAAAACUCUGUUAUUAGGGAAGAACAAAUGUGUAAGUAACUAUGCACGUCUUGACGGUACCUAAUCAGAAAGCCACGGCUAACUACGUG